GGGUCUCCUGACCUAGGACUCCAGAUCGACGGCCGCCGGCGACGUGCCCCUCCAGAUCCGCCGGUGACGCGCGCCCCCAAGAGCUUCCUCCGCCGGUGACCUGCCCCCACUAGCCUCCUCCGCCUCCGCCUCCAUCUUCUCCUGCGCCUGCGCCAGCAAAGACUGCAGGCACCUUGGCUGCAGCUAGAGGAUGACUGACCAAACUGUCAAUAGUGCAGCCGGCGGCAAUGGGCCUGAGCCUGAGCAGUAUGAUCCAUCCAAGGAUCCUAAGCGGAAGGCAAAGUCGGGAGACCCUGGGUGGAAGUAUGGGUAUUGGCAUGAUAUGAACAGGAGGGAUAGGAUACGAUGCACUUUUUGCGGGACAGAUGUGCAUGCUGGAAUAGCAAGGUUCAAGCGUCACCUAGCUGGGGCUAGUACUAAAGGGAAGAAGAAUUCUAUAAAAUGCAAGAAGGUGCCAGAGGCUGUUUCAAAGAAGAUGCUGGAUUUCAUGAAGGCCUACGCAAAGAAGCAUAAUAUGCCAGGGGAGUCUGAUAAAGAAGAUACAGCAACUGGUGAUGAAGAAGAGGAUGCAACAGCAACUCAAACUAGUAGUAGGACAACAGCAAAAAGGAAGGCCGAGACUGUCCAAACUGAAUUACAUACACAAAAGGCUUCAAGAACAAUUGCCGGGAUGAUUAGGAAGACUCCGGAAGAAGUCAUUGAGCUAAGGCACUCGAAGAAUCCUUCUCAAGCCGCAUUGAACGCAGGUUGCUUCAAAAGGACCACCGAGGAUAAGGAUAGAGUUGAUGAUCAUUGGGCAGCAUUUUUCUAUGCCAAUGCCAUUCCCUUCAAUGUUACCCGAUCAAGAGCCUUUGAGAUUGCAUUGGAGUCCACCGGGCAAUAUGGUCCAGGCUACAUCCCCCCAACUAUUCAUGCUCUUAGGCUUCCACUUCUUGUGAAAGCAAAGAAGAAGACACAUGCAUUGAGAGAGCAACAUGAGCUGGCUUGGCAAGAGUAUGGCUGCACACUAAUGUCCGAUGGGUGGACCGAUGGGAGGACUAGGCACUUGGUCAACUUCCUUGUCAAUAGUCCAGCCGGGACUUUCUUCAUUGAUAGCGUUGACAUACCAGCCUUAGUAGCCAGCAAAGAAUUGUUGGCAGAUUUGAUGGAGAAAAGGAUCAACGACAUUGGAAGAGGCUACGCGGUUCAGAUUUGCACGGAUAAUGGUGCUAACUACAAGGCAGCGGGUAGACUCUUAACAGAGAGGAUCCCUACAUUAUGGUGGACCCCUUGUGCAGCCCAUUGUUUGAACCUUAUGUUGGAGGCCAUUUGCAAAAUCAAGCAAUUCAGCGAGUGUAUUACAAAUGGAAAAAGGGUGUCUACAUUCAUCUACAGGCAUGGCAAGGUUUUAGAUGAAAUGAGAGUGAAGACCGACAACCGUGAUCUUGUGAGGGCUGGAGCUACUCGCUUUGCCACAAAUUUUCUCAACUUGCAAAGCUUGCACAAACAUAGGCAAGCUCUCAAAGAAUUGUUUGUGGGUGAUGUUUGGCAUAGCAAUAAGAAGUUGUCAACCUCACCGGUGGGACAAAAAGUUCAAGAAGAUGUGUUGUCCAUUAGUUUUUGGAACUCAGUAGAGACUUGCAUGAAAGUUUCUCUACCUCUUCUAAGGGUGCUAAGGAUUGUUGAUGGCGAUGAGAAGCCAGCGAUGCCCGAGGUUAUGGCAGCAAUGGAUUAUGCAAAGGAGAGAAUCAAGGCUGCGAUAGAUGACAAACCAACGUUGGUUAAGAAGGUGACAAAAAUAGUAGAGGACAAGUGGGAAUCUCAAAUGGGGGUGAAGUUGUAUGGAGCUGCACUAUUCUUAAACCCAAAUAGGAUCUAUGGUCUCAAAGCUAAGCCCGAGAAAGCACGAUAUUGUCAAAGGCUUAGGCAUAUGUUCAAUGAGGUGCUAUUGCACAUGGAGCCCGAUGAUGAUAAAGCAAGCGUGAUAAGUAGAUUGGCUGAUGACUAUGAAAGAGGUGAAGGUGAAUGCUUCAGCUCUAAGUUGGCAAUCAAUGACCGAACAAAAAAGAGUCCUCUUCUUUGGUGGGGUGCUUAUGGUGGCCUUGCUUAUGAGCUGCAACAUUUAGCAAAGCACAUAGUUAGCCUUUGUGCUUCAGCUUCCGGUUGCGAACGAAAUUGGUCUUGCUUUCAAAAUAUCCAUAGCAAAAAGAGAAAUAGGUUGGAGUUCCAAAGACUUAAUGAUUUGUCAUAUAUUCAAUACAACCGGAAGAAUGCCGAUAGGUUCCAAAAGAUUCGUGAGGAAGGCUCCAAAGGGACUAGGUCUGACCCAUUAGUCCUAGAAGACAUUAGUCCUAGAAGACUUACAAUGGGACAAUGAAUGGGUUGACCAUAAUGCCCAGCCGGUUUAUGAAGGGGCUGAUAUCACUUGGGCUCAAGUUGACGAAGCUGUCGGUGCAUCUGAAGGUCCAUUGCGCAACCUUAGAAGCCGUGGGAGUGGGAGCCAGGCUGCUGUUACUCAUGUCUAUUCUCGAUCUCGAGAGCACCAAGUUGGAGAAGAUGAGGACGAGGAGGAUGAUGCAAAUCAGGAGGUUGAGCUUGAAGAUUAUUCAACAAGUGAAGAUGAUCAAGAGGGAAAUCAAGGUGAAGGUGAAGGUGGAGGUGAAGAGAGAGGCUCCAUUGGCUUUGAUGAUGAUCUGGAUUACUAGGACGAUUGAUGGAACUUGGGCUGGUGUGGCUUCAUUUUGGACAUAUGGAGUUGGGGGCUCUUGGGGCUGGUGUGCCUCAUUUUGGACAUAUGGAGUUGGGGGCUCUUGGGGCUGGUGUGCCUCAUUUUGGACAUAGGAUUUGGGGCUGGUGUGGACCUUGUGGCUUCUUUUUGGACAUAUGGAGUUGGGGGCUUGGGGGUUGGGCUGGUGUGCCUUAUCCCUUAUUUUGGACAUAGGAUUUGGGGUCGAUUUGGGGCUGGUUGUUAAGAGUUAAGAACUUGGUAGUUCGUAGUUAAAUGUAAUGAACUAAUGCUUAAUUUCUGUUGUAAUACUUGUUGCUGUGAUCUGUGAUGGUAUUUAUAUGUAGAACUGCUGCUGUUUUCCUUAUCUGAAUCAGGUGAUCAGGUGCAAAGAGAAAAGGAUCAUCAAGGAAAACAAAUUGGGACAGAUGGACACACAAGAAGUGCACCUGCAAUCAACAAAGACGAGCUUGCACAAGGUCAGAAAGGGAUUUCCAUUGCCAACUAUAAAAGAUUACAAGGUAAUAUCACUCCUAAUUCUACCACUAAAUCCUAUUCUAAGCCAUGGCGACUUGGGGCGACUAAUCAAGCCAAGUCGCUGACUCAAGCCAGCAAGCCACUAGCCACAGCCUCGGCGACUUGGCUUGACUCGGCGACUCAAAAAUAGAGCUCUGGAAUGAACAAAGUAAAUGGGAUAAGCUCACCUUGCCACAGAGACAGCGAACGCCUAACUUCAAGAAAAAAA